UCCGAGUUGACCCCGGCAGUCUCCUAUGAGUCCCCACCAUUACGUGCUGGCAACAUAGAACGAGGGUUGCGCUCGUUGCGGGACUUAACCCAACAUCUCACGACACGAGCUGACGACAACCAUGCACCACCUGUAUGCGAGUGUCCAAAGAGAACGUCAUCUCUGACGCGUUCUCGCAUAUGUCAAGCCUUGGUAAGGUUCUUCGCGUUGCAUCGAAUUAAUCCGCAUGCUCCGCCGCUUGUGCGGGCCCCCGUCAAUUCCUUUGAGUUUUAGCCUUGCGGCCGUACUCCCCAGGCGGGGAACUUAAUGCGUUAGCUGCGGCACGGAUCUCGUGGAAUGAGACCCACACCUAGUUCCCAACGUUUACGGCAUGGACUAC
rnacentral:misc_RNA from 1 species